rnacentral:rRNA from 1 species
CACCGCGGUUAUACGAGAGGCCCAAGUUGAUGGAGUUCGGCGUAAAGAGUGGUUAAUAGUAAACGAACUAAGGCCGAACACCUUCAAAGCCGUCAUACGCACCCGGAGGAAGGAAGCCCCCUUACGAAAGUAGCCUUAACGAACUAUGACCCCACGAAAGCUAGGAAA